rnacentral:rRNA from 1 species
GACGAACGCUGGCGGCGUGCUUAACACAUGCAAGUCGAACGGAAAGGCCCUGCUUUUGUGGGGUGCUCGAGUGGCGAACGGGUGAGUAACACGUGAGUAACCUGCCCUUGACUUUGGGAUAACUUCAGGAAACUGGGGCUAAUACCGGAUAGGAGCUCCUGCUGCAUGGUGGGGGUUGGAAAGUUUCGGCGGUUGGGGAUGGACUCGCGGCUUAUCAGCUUGUUGGUGGGGUAGUGGCUUACCAAGGCUUUGACGGGUAGCCGGCCUGAGAGGGUGACCGGCCACAUUGGGACUGAGAUACGGCCCAGACUCCUACGGGAGGCAGCAGUGGGGAAUAUUGCACAAUGGGCGGAAGCCUGAUGCAGCAACGCCGCGUGCGGGAUGACGGCCUUCGGGUUGUAAACCGCUUUCGCCUGUGACGAAGCGUGAGUGACGGUAAUGGGUAAAGAAGCACCGGCUAACUACGUGCCAGCAGCCGCGGUGAUACGUAGGGUGCGAGCGUUGUCCGGAUUUAUUGGGCGUAGAGGGCUCGUAGGUGGUUGAUCGCGUCGGAAGUGUAAUCUUGGGGCUUAACCCUGAGCGUGCUUUCGAUACGGGUUGACUUGAGGAAGGUAGGGGAGAAUGGAAUUCCUGGUGGAGCGGUGGAAUGCGCAGAUAUCAGGAGGAACACCAGUGGCGAAGGCGGUUCUCUGGGCCUUUCCUGACGCUGAGGAGCGAAAGCGUGGGGAGCGAACAGGCUUAGAUACCCUGGUAGUCCACGCUGUAAACGGUGGGUACUAGGUGUGGGGUCCAUUCCACGGGUUCCGUGCCGUAGCUAACGCUUUAAGUACCCCGCCUGGGGAGUACGGCCGCAAGGCUAAAACUCAAAGGAAUUGACGGGGCCCCGCACAAGCGGCGGAGCAUGCGGAUUAAUUCGAUGCAACGCGUAGAACCUUACCUGGGUUUGACAUGGAUCGGGAGUGCUCAGAGAUGGGUGUGCCUCUUUUGGGGUCGGUUCACAGGUGGUGCAUGCCUGUCGUCAGCUCGUGUCGUGAGAUGUUGGGUUAAGUCCCGCAACGAGCGCAACCCUUGUUCACUGUUGCCAGCACGUUAUGGUGGGGACUCAGUGGAGACCGCCGGGGUCAACUCGGAGGAAGGUGGGGAUGACGUCAAGUCCUCAUGCCCCUUAUGUCCAGGGCUUCACGCAUGCUACAAUGGCUGGUACAGAGAGUGGCGAGCCUGUGAGGGUGAGCGAAUCUCGGAAAGCCGGUCUCAGUUCGGAUUGGGGUCUGCAACUCGACCUCAUGAAGUCGGAGUCGCUAGUAAUCGCAGAUCAGCAACGCUGCGGUGAAAACGUUCCCGGG